CAGCUGGUAGCGUAGUGGUUAGCGCUACUGCUUUUGGAUCUGCUGGUUGCGGGUUUGACCCCCCUCCAGCUGU
rnacentral:tRNA from 1 species